AAUAUUCCUCCAUUGUUUCAUCUUCAUCUUCUUCUUCAACAAGUUUGAAAUUAUCUACAUCAUAAUCUCUUGCCCUUUCAACAUACACAUUUGAUGAAAUUACUUGCGGAUCAACAUUAUUUCUAUUAUACAAUUGUGCAUUAGCAUGUUCAAGUUGUACCGAGAGAACAAAGUCAGAUGACUCAUUUUGCUGAUACACUUGUUCAUUUGCACUCCAGCUUCCAUUUUCAUCUUCAUUUAAGCUUUCUUUCUCUUGAACAUCCCAGAAACCCCUAUGCUGCACCUUUUCUACAACCUUCCAACCUACUCCUAAAAU
rnacentral:lncRNA from 1 species